rnacentral:rRNA from 1 species
UGAGUAACGCGUAUCCAACUCCCUUAGUAGGGCAUAGCCCGGCGAAAGUCGGAUUAAUACCCUAUGUUCUUCGUAGAGGACAUCUGAAAUGAAGCAAAGAUUUAUCGCUAAGGGAUGGGGAUGCGUCUGAUUAGGUAGUCGGCGGGGUAACGGCCCACCGAGCCUGCGAUCAGUAGGGGUUCUGAGAGGAAGGUCCCCCACAUUGGAACUGAGACACGGUCCAAACUCCUACGGGAGGCAGCAGUGAGGAAUAUUGGUCAAUGGGGCGCGGGCCUGAACCAGCCAAGUAGCGUGACCAGGAUGACGGCCCUAUGGGUUGUAAACUGCUUUUAUGCGGGGAUAAAGUGCACCACGUGUGGUGUUUUGUAGGUACCGCAUGAAUAAGGACCGGCUAAUUCCGUGCCAGCCGCCGC